UACGUAGGGUGCAAGCGUUGUCCGGAAUUAUUGGGCGUAAAGAGCUCGUAGGCGGUCUGUCGCGUCGGCUGUGAAAACCCGGGGCUCAACCCCGGGCCUGCAGUCGAUACGGGCAGACUAGAGUGCGGUAGGGGAGACUGGAAUUCCUGGUGUAGCGGUGAAAUGCGCAGAUAUCAGGAGGAACACCGGUGGCGAAGGCGGGUCUCUGGGCCGUAACUGACGCUGAUGCACGAAAGCUGGGGGAGCAAACAGG
rnacentral:rRNA from 1 species